AGAGCGCGACACGUGGAUGAUGCAUCAUCAACGGUCAAGAUUAGAUUGGUUUGAAAGGGUUAUUAAAUCCGGUUUAAGUGGAUGAUUCGAACCACCAUUUUUGAACCGGUCCUUUACCAAACAACUCAUUUGCAGGUUGCCCUCUCUCGCACGACGCGCUCAUCUCUCGCUGCUCACAGAGGAGAAACCCUAACGGUGGUUUCUUCUGCUGCUCCCGGUCAAGGUCGAAGCUCACGAAGGGGUUUUUCCCGUAGGCGAAAGGGAUUAGUUGUGGUUUCUUCUGCUGCUCCCGGUCAAGGUCGAAGCUCACGAAGGGGUUUUUCCUGUAGGCGAAAGGGAUUAGUUGUCUAGGGAUUAGUUGUCUCUCUAUCUUGCGAAGGGGAUUUUUUGCUAGGUUUGAGUCACUAUCGCGCCGAACUUUUUUCUGGGUUUGAUUCAUUCACUGUUAGUUUUUUUUUUUUUUUUUCCUGCUUGGUGUUGUUCUACAACAGAGGUUUCUUGCCACGAAGGGGUUUUUUUUUCCUGCUCUGUCGCGGUCUCCUCCCCUCGUGAAGGUCUCUCUUCCUUCAGAGGUAUGUUUCCAGAUCUGAACAAGUAAUGUAGUGUUGUCUCUCUGCUCUGUCGCGGUCCACUUGUUAGUUCAGUGACAAUCCCUACUUUGGGAAUUGGGAUCCUAUCCAGAGGAGGUAAGCAACAUCAGGUUAGUUUCUAUUUCUUGUCUUCUUACCUCUGUUAUGAUGAGCAUGGGAAUCAAGUCUGUAUAUAUCCCAUGUUGGGACAUGUAACAGCUUUUUAAUCAAAGAAUGGAACAGAGUUGAGUUGCAGAUAUGCUGCUGUUAGUAUAUUUUUGCUACCGCAGGCCAGUGUCAGCAUAUUUCCUGGGUCAUUUCUUACAGGAGUGGAUUUUUCAUGUUCUUCUCUCCUUUUAAGUUUAGCUGAGAUCAAUCAGACAGGUUAUAUAGACUUGAACAGUCCAAACUCAAUGGUUUAGAGAAAUUCUUUCAGAUUUUGAUAGAUAUACUUAGCCUCAGCAUGAAAUUGAAUUUCAGGAACAGAAAUUUGUCUCUGAAUGUAAGCCCCAUAAAAUACACCCAAGUUUGUCUGAUUGAAUGGAAAAUUUGAUGACAAACCAAAUUUCCAAAGUUUUGUUUUUUCCCCCUGAAAGCAAGAAUCAAAGUACAGCACCAGACAGCAAUGUUGUGUUAUGUUUUGGGAUCUUGAAUAGGUUUGAACUUAUUUGAUAGACCAUCUGUUAGGUCUGUAUUGUAUUGUCUAAAAACAGGAAGGGACAAAAAAAAACAAAAUAUCUAAAAGAAUGAAGCCAUACACUGCUUAUCAUUUGCCCAGACAAAUAUAGUACAGAUAUACAAACUCAGGAUGGAACCUUUCUUAUUUUUAUCAUAGCAAUAUCAAGAUAGAGGAUGAAAUUAAAUGAUGGAAACUUUGAAAUCUAUUCAUUUCGAUUAUUUUCUUAUGGAUAUUGCAUUUUACAGAGAAAUGGAUGCACAACAACGGAUGUGUAGCUGUGGAGAGGUGAUGGUCAUCCGAACUUCUCAAACGGCGCGGAAUCCUGGACGAAGAUUUUACAGAUGUCCGGUAGGCGGAAAACAUCCGGGAUGUUUUAUAUGGUUGGACCCAGUAUCGAGGAAUUAUACUGACACUGGAGACACAGGAACAUGUUAUUCAACAGAAAGUGUUAAUAGGAACACACAGGCCAUCUCAGCUAUUCGUCAACCCUCCUAUAGUCAACAAGUGCGGAAACAAGUACUAGUGGACCAGUCGUUGCUCAACCAUUAUUAUGGUUUAACCAUCUUUCUAUGUAUUUGGGUGUUAAUUCUCUCGUGCUAUGUCUUUUAUGUAACGGCUUUGUAAAUAGUACUAAAGUGGUGUUUCAUAUUAUGUAUGGAGUAAAUACAAGAUCAAGAGUUUAUGUAAGAUUUCAUAAUUUUUUUUCCUUUUCGGAUGAUUA